rnacentral:lncRNA from 1 species
CUAGAUUUGUUUCCCUUUCACUAACAGGGUUUUCUCUGUACUUGAGUACCACAAAAAGAAGAAAGCAUACCAAGGUGGGUGCUAGUGACUCCCACAGCUCUGUCCCCUCCCUACAGCCCUGCAGGCUCUACCUUCUCUAGCACCUAGCUUCCACCUCAGAAGUGAUGAGGAGCUCCACCAUAUUAAACUGACAAAUAUGACACAGCAGAAACAUUUCCACCUGAACCAGCGAGAAUUUACUGGCAGCCCUCAACUCAGCCACAGCAGGCCAGCACCUUCAAGAAGAAGGCAGAAUUCUCUCAGGUGGAAUGAAAUUAGAGCACCGCUGAAUUCGUGCCGCUGAUUUCACCUGAGCCUAAUUUUUUACUGACCAUCUUUACAGGAGCGUUAUACAACACCGGGGACUUCAAUGGAAGAAAGCUUAUUCCAUUUCUACCAUUACACUGGGAGAGCCUUCUCGGUGGUGCUGGAAGAAAGAAUUGCUUUAUCCAGACUCUCCUUGAGAAUUAUAAUAUGGUCAAACCUCCUCUAGUGUCUGGAGUGAGAGGAGCCAGAGAAAGCAUUACUUGGCUGAAGCUCCUCUGCAGUCAGUUGCCUUUUCCUACAGGCUACCAGCUGAGGAAGAUUAAAGGACUGCGGAGAUGAAGGAAGUUAUACUGGUCUUCUUGUCCAGCAUCUUCUACGGCCAGCUAGUAACUUCAGUCCCUAUGGCAUGCUGUAUCCCAGUUUCAGGAACAGUUACAAAUGAGAAACUUGUUCUCCUUAUAGGUUAAGACUUACUUACAAAAAUAAUGUGUUUCCUGACAUCUGCUAUGCCACUGUUAGGGAAAAAUGCUUUUUCUUGAAUUUAACAUGGCUACAUUUCCUGUAAAGGAAGGGACAUUUGGGAAACACACACAUACAAAGACUUAGAAUUCACCACAGUAGAUCUGAUCCUACCAGGAUUCUGCCUCUGAUAAUGAAAUGAACUGAAGGAAAUACAUGAAUAACUGUUUUCUAGCACUAAACUUCUGAUAUUUUUCUGUAUAAGUGACCAAGAUCCAAGUUCACGACGUUUGCUAAUAGCCAAUAACACUUUAAUAUCAUGUAGAAGAGCACUUCUUUUCUAAUAUUAAGCAUCCCCAUCUAUAUAUUCCACAGGUGCUGCAAUACAGAAGUUCCUCAUCUACCUGUCUGCAGCCAUUUAUUGCUUUAUAGACUUCUGUGUCUCCUCUAAGUCUUUUUAUUUAUAAAGUAAACAAGUUUUUCACUUCAUACAAGAGCUUUCCUAUGCCUUUAUUCAUCAUUUUCAUUCCUUCCCCAAACUCCCUCUAAUCCCACAGAAUCCUCUCUAAAAUAGUGACCUGUACUAUUCCAGGGGAAAACGUAAUUCUGAACCUGUAACAACAUGUCAACAAUUAUUUUUAUUGUUCCAAAUUACAUUCCUAACAAACCCUAAUUCAUCACAUUCCUAAUUAAUAAACACAGAUGCACAUUGCCA